GGCCGAAAGAUGGAGGCAAGUCAAGUGCCCCUCAGUGGACACUGGGUCAGCAAAAGGUGGCGUAUCCACACAGUGGAGUAUUACCCAGCCUUAGAAAACCAAGGAAAUUCUGACACAUUUACAACAUGGAUGAACCCUGAGGACAUGAUGCAAACUGAAAAAGCCUGUCACGAAAAGAUGGGAAAACUGCGGUCCAGUGAGGUUGAAUCGCUAACCCAAGGUCACAUAGUGGAGGAAGCAGGAUCUGAACCCAGCUGGAUUUUCUGAGCUAACAGCAACCUGGACCCUGGGUUGGAGGCCUUGCUGCUCUGGGGUAUCCCUGGGACACUGUCAGGUCUGCAGGAACUCAGCCCUACCCCAGACCUGCGGAACCCGAAUCUGCAUUCUACCAAGAGUCCAGAAAGAAAAGAAGGAAGAAAAGGGAACCUCCCACUGCAGCCCACACAGCCCCACCAAGAAAGGAAGACUGUGCACCCCCGUCCACCCUCCACCAACCCCCAGCCCGCUUCAUCUGUCUUUGGAGACAGUGACAGAAGAACUGCCCAAGGAGAAAUCAAGAGAGAGAUUCUUAGUACUAAAGGGCCUUUGAAAUAAUGCACUUUAAGCUUCUCAUUUAACAGAUAGGGAAAUAGAGGCCCAGAGAGGGGGAAAUACUUUGUCCAAGGUCACACAGCAAGGCUGGAGCAGAAGUUCAAGAAUCAUCGAGGCAAGAGAGACCUUGAAACCUCCUACUUCAGAGAUACAAACUCAAGCGAUCACACGGGUUAUGCCUGCAAGAAAAGCAGAACGACCUUUCCAUCCCAUAGGCCACAGAGCAGAAUGUGAGCCAAGGUGGGCUGAUUACUGGCUCUGGAAGUUUGUUGGCACUAGGAGCCAUCUUUGCAUCUACCCACAGGUAUAGCGCUUGCCACAUGUCUUUAAAAACUGUGGUAAAAUACACAGGACAUAAAACUUACAUCUUAACAAUUUUUAAGUGUGCAGUUCAGCAGUGUUAAGUACAUUCACAUUAUUGUGAAAUGAGCCUCCUCUUCUGACAGAGACACGGGCAUGAAAAGUGUUUCACUUUUCUCUUAGUCUUGAGCCUAAGAAAAACUACAGUGUGCAAAAUGAUAUACACGGCAACAGGCAUCAGGUCUUGGGGUCAGGAAGACAACAGGGAGUGGUGGGGACUAUGGAAAACUGGAGAGCAUACCCCCCAUCCAAGAGGCAGUCACUACUCAGCUCUAUCUGGCUCUUGCCUGCAGGAAUGCUAGAUCAUCUAUAUAUGUGAAAACACCUGAUAUUUUAAACUCUUUUUUUCAAAAUCUAAAACAUUUUGAAAAGGUGAAUGGAGUUUCUCACUCCAGUACCCUAUUUCCCAUAGGUAAACAGUUAUUAUUCUUUGCUAAUACUUAAAGCUUUUUUAUAAUUUUACAAGCAAAUAGUAACAUAUAUGCACAUAUUUUUUUCGUUAUACAGAAGAGAGUUUUUUCUUUAUAACAAAUACUUUGCUUUUCAUGUGGCUUUUUACUUAAUAUAUCCUAGAGAACUUGCCUUAUCAGUGCCUAGGCAGAGUACUCAAUUUUUCCCCCAACUGCAUAGUAUCCCAUUGAAUGGAUGAUCCAUAUUUGAUCUAACCUGUCCCCUUGUUGAUAUGACUGGACUGUUUUUCAAAACUAUUGCAUCACAAUGCUGUCUGAAUAACCUUCGAUGUACAUCAUUUUCCACAUGAGCAUGUGUAUCUGUGGGUUAAAUUCCAAAGAGUAGAAUUUCUAUAUGUGCAUUUUUAAUAUUUAAUGAAUUUGCCAAAUUGGCCCCUCUCAUAUUGGUUUUGCCAAGAUCCACUCCUGCCAGUCAUGCAUGAGUGACUAUUUCCUUACAAACAUUUAACUGUUUUAACGUUGCCAAAUAAACUACAAUGAAAUAAAAUUGAAACAAUGUGCCUUCCAAACCAAUAUGUCUGUGGGCCACCUUGGCCCCAACUUUCCCAGCUCCAACCCUUCAAAGCCCAGAAAUGGUGACUGACUUGCCUCAAGUUGCACAGCAAGUGAAUUGUAGAGUCAGAACUCAAAUCUCAGCCGCCUGAUUCCUAUGCCCGUAUCUAAUCCACUUCCUGGCUCACCACCAGUUUGAGAGAGCCAUUGGCUUUGGUAGUACGAAACUGGGGCUUCUACAGUGUUACCUGCAGCCUUUGUCAGCUCAUGACUUGAAAAAGUCCAGCCCGUUUGCAGAUGGCGACUGCAUGGAGCAGCCCUCACACCCAGCAAAUGCCUCUCUCUCAGAUAUAUCAGUCAGCUUCUGAUGCAUACCAGCCAACCACAAAAUUGUGUUUAUUUCUAUUCUUUUACCCUAACACCCUUCGGCAAGUGCUUAAGGGAGCCUCUUAUGGCAAAAGGGAGCAGCUAAACCCAGGAAGCAGCUUUGGAUCCAGACAGACCUGAGCCCCAAUUCAGCUUCACCUCUUACAAGCUGUAUGACUUCAGAUGAUUGUGCCUUUUCAGCAUCCAUCUCUUCAGCUGCAGUGUGGGGGUAAUAACUGCCCCACUUUGAAUCUUAUUUGGUAACCACAGUGAACACAAAAUAAGUACUUUAAAUAUUAGAAUCCAGCCCAGCUCACCAAGAUGCUCUGACAGUUCAAGGGAACUGGGCCUGCAUGAGAGAAGAGAAGAGAAGAUUCCUUUGUGUUUAUAUUGUGUUUAUACAACUAGAUAGUAAGCUCCUCUUGAAGGCAGAGACUGCCUUCAAGUGGACAAGAUAGACCUGGGAAUAACUAAAUAGUUUGCAAAGCAGAAUAAAAUAAGUGGUUGGUGCAAGUGCCACUGGCAAGGGCAGCCCACUCAGAUACGGGCUUGGAAGGCCUUCUGGAAUCUUCUAAACCAGCCCUUGAAAGAGCAUUACGGGAUGGAAGAGGAUCCAGCAUUUACUGAACAGCCAAUUGCUUGGCACUGUGUUUCCUAAUUUUAUUUUUUUUCUAUUUAGUCUUUUUUUCCUCUUUAAAAAAAAAUUACAGAAGUGUAUC